ensembl:lncRNA
GCUUCAUGUCCCUGAGCUCACGUUCAAGCCGGCUGAUCCAGUUUCCCAAGCUCUGCUAAUAUCUCAGCCUAAUGACCAAAUGCUGCUCACACCCAAGUCUACCGACCCGGUCACCCAAGUUCAGCCCACUGACACGCACAGCCAAGUUCUGCUCACGCGCCGGUCUGCCGACAGGCCCAGCCAAGUUCCGCUCACGCCACAGUCUGCUGACACGCCCAGCCAAGCUCCGCUCGCGCCCCAGUCUGCUGACACGCCUAGCCAAGCUCCGCCCACGCCACUAUCUGCUGACACGGCCAGCCAAGCUCCGCCCAUGCCCAAGGUUCACCUAGUGACCUCAGAGCCUCAGUCUCCCUGUUCAGCUGUGGACAUCGCUCAGCCUUCCUGUUCAGCUGUG